GAUGAACGCUGGCGGCGUGCCUAAUACAUGCAAGUCGAGCGAACAGACGAUGAACUUUCUCCUUGGACGUUAGCGGCGGACGUGUGAGUAACACGGGGGUAGCCUCCCUAUAAUAAUGUGCUAACUUCGGGAGACCGGAGCUAAGACCAGAUAAUAUUUCGAACAGCAUAUUUCGGUAGUAAAAGAUGUUGCUGCUAUCACUUUUAUCGCUUGAAGAUCGUCUUGCGUCGGUUGAGAUAGUUGGUGAGGUAACGGCUUACUAAGGCAACGAUCCGUAGCCGAACUGAGAGGGUGAUCGGCCACACUAGAACUGAGACACGCUCCCGACUUCUACGUGAGGCACCAGCCGGGAAUCUUCGGCAAGGGGCGGAAGCCUGAAGGAGCAAAGCGGCGUGAGCGAUGAAGGUCUUCGGAGCGUAAAACUCUGUUAUUAGGGAAGAAUAAACGUGUAAGUAAAUGUGCAAGUCUUGACGGUACCUAAUCAGAAAGCCCCGGCUAACUACGUG
rnacentral:rRNA from 1 species